CAACUUGAUUCCAAAGAACCGGAAGCAACUCUGAGUGCGUCAACGAGCUACCAAAUGAUGUCCAAUAACUCUACAACUCUAAAAAUAUGACAAUAAUGAUGUUUGUGAGCUACUAACAUUGUCAAUUAACAUAAUCUAACUCAUCUUGACCAAAAGUCCCAAAUUUCUUAAUUCUAAUAACCCUAAAUUUGGAUUUAUAUAUACCCAUAAAUAUAGAGAUGACAAAAAUUGGGGACAUGGCUAAUUAUUGAGUCAAAGAGUUACCUUGAAGCCUCAAUAAUAAUUGGAACUCAAAGUUGAAUGCUUCUUUCACUCAUUAAGUUGACAUUCCAUGAUUUGGGGUUUUGAGAAAAUGAGAUUUUGAAUAAAUAGAGAUAGAGUAGAAAAAGAAA
rnacentral:lncRNA from 1 species